rnacentral:precursor_RNA from 10 species
AAAAACUUUUGCAAAUUCCGCGUUAGUGUAAAGUUGGAAGUUGAUUGACUGGGUUUGAAAUAUACCAGUUAAUUGACUCCAACUAUACAUUGGCUGUGACAAUACAACACAAGCAAA